rnacentral:rRNA from 1 species
GACGAACGCUGGCGGCGUGCUUAACACAUGCAAGUCGAGCGGUAAGGCCCUUCGGGGUACACGAGCGGCGAACGGGUGAGUAACACGUGGGUGACCUGCCCUUAGCUCUGGGAUAAGCCUGGGAAACUGGGUCUAAUACCGGAUAUGACCUCAUGACGCAUGUUGUGGGGUGGAAAGCCUUGUGCGGCUAGGGAUGGGCCCGCGGCCUAUCAGCUUGUUGGUGGGGUGAUGGCCUACCAAGGCGACGACGGGUAGCCGGCCUGAGAGGGCGACCGGCCACACUGGGACUGAGACACGGCCCAGACUCCUACGGGAGGCAGCAGUGGGGAAUCUUGCGCAAUGGGCGAAAGCCUGACGCAGCGACGCCGCGUGAGGGAUGACGGCC